CAUUCCGCUCGGAGCCAGCACAUGCGGAGGAGAAUGUGGGAGGGGAACGAGCAUCGUUCGGACGACCCGCGGCUCCCAAUGGUGGAAUUCCUCAUCCUCUCCGCGCAGGUGAGUUUUUCGCUCCGCAGCCUCAUCGAAUCACUCCAGUCCCCGACCACGCGAGUUCCCUCUCCCCGUUGAUCCGACUUGCUCUUGUGACGCGGCGCGCCGAUUGACAUUCGCAGCGGCUCGGAGUCGAUCCGGUGGUCAAGUACACCGCUCUGUCGCUUUUCGCCGAUCGGUUCUGCGCUUCUCUCUCCCGGUUCGUCUCGCUGCUUCGCCAUUUCCAGUUUGGAACGCAUGAUGUGCCGGUUCGCCGUUUCUAGUGCGUCAUUUCGCCGGAUUUUUCGAACCUUAGAGGAGCUUCAGUAUUGCCAUGUCGUUGCGUUGAGUGAGAUCAGGUUGAAUUCGUCGUGGCAAACAAGCGUCGAAUUGAAUCCCUUGGCAAGGUUGCUCCAAGUUAAUCUGAAAAAUUUUGCAGCCGUUGGACUAGAUACUGUCAUGUUUCUGUUGUACGUUGUAUUUUUUUUUUUUUUGGGGGCAAUCUGUGUUUGAUCAGUUUGUUUUAGGAGUGACAAUUUUGGUGGUGUUGUUUGCUUCGUCUUAAUUGCUGACCGGAGGUUUAGAUGCUGCUGUUUUGCCUUCAUUACCUUUUUGAAUCCCCUUUUUCUUAACGUUAAAUUUGAUCAGAUGUCCAUUUUUGAGACCGAGACUUAGAUAAAAGGAUAUCGAUGAUGCGAUACUUGCGAUUUCUUUGUAAAGUGGGUGAUGAUCGGGAUUGCCGACAGCUCUUUUGGUACUGAGUAAGCAACCUUUCCUUUGUAAAGGUCUGAAGGGAGCAAUGCCACUCAACACUGGCUACUACAGCCUCUGAGAGAGAGCAAUCUGCAGUUAUUUUCACUUGUCUCUAUCUGGAUCUCAAGCAAAGUAAAAUCCUGUACUUUGGCAUUGUCAGAACAUUACUUAGAUGGCUGUCUUGUUAUCUUUUGAUACGUCUCAUAUCUAGCAGAUACAUCUGUCUCGCCCUUUGUCUGUAAAAUCCUUGAAGUUUUUGGGGGAUCGGAUCAUCACCGGACAACAUUUUACAACUCGAGACUUUUCCGAAGCAGUAUGCUAAUUACCGUCCAUAAGGAUUGAAAAUAGCUAACUCUUCUUUUAUGUAUCUUGCUGUGAUUAAUGACGCUGGCUUUGUCUAGGAAGUGAUCUUUUUGCAGAUGCUGAACUUUGAAAUUGGAUCUGCAAGUGAUGCUUUUAUGUUCCUCGAACAACUCUACUUCCAAUUCAAGCAAGUCUUUUUUCCUUCCUUGACUAUGGUUAUAUGAAUUUUCAGCUUUAUGGUUUCUGCUGUGAGGUGCUUUUAAUGUUUCUAUGCGUACUUCAAUUCAGGGAAGUAGCAGCAGUAGGGAAGCUUUUGAGUUUCCAAGCGUGCAUGGAUGUCAUGGAUCUUCUCUAUGAAAAGGAGGAGAUGACAAGGCUUUAUCGUUCUCCUCGUCCUCUAGCUGCAUCUAUCUUGGCAUGUUUUGAGUGAUAUAAUAUACUCAGAUAAAGAAAACACCUGUUUUUAGCUAAGCUUUUGCGCUCACUUGCAGGUUUGUUCCUACCUUAUGACAGUCCCAAAACAGAGUCUGGAAUUUCCAAUUCUUGCUUGGGGUACUAUUUAGUGUUCAAGUUAUUGCCUUUUCAUCUUCUCCAUGAUUGUUUCUUCUGUCCACAACCAAACAAGUU